AAAUGCUAUCCACCUCCAGAGAAAGAACCGAUGAAAUAUGAGUGCAAAUUGAGGAAUGUCAAGCAACAAGUUCCCAUUCUGGGAUACUCGUCUCCUGACUCUUGGGCAUCAGACAGCAUCUGGACUCCACAAACUGAGGGUCUCUGCCAGCCAUUCCAUCUCUCAAACAAGCAGUACUAGAUCCAGGAUGUAUCAUGCUUUGUAGGACAGGUGAAGACACAGGACAAGAAAGGGUAUAUUUGUUCAAAGUCUCAAAAACAGUGAAUUGCAGGACUGGGACUCAAACCUGCUUCUUCUGAUCUGAAAUUCAGGGCCCUCUCUACCUCUCCACACUGACAGCCUAGUCUCACAACAGGAGACAAAUGAAGGAGCUUUACUUUUGAAAACAAAUAACAAAAUGAAGGAUUUUUAAUACUGCUGAAGUAAUGGCAAACAAAUCUGGCAAAGAGAAGAGGAUGAAGAAUUUAAAGACCUCCAUGAAUCCCUUGGCUACUGAAAACAAGAUAAUCAUUUAAUUUUGGGAGCUACGGAGUUAAAGAAAGUAUGCACAGGAAUGACAGAUGCUGUUGCCACCAGGAGCAAGUCAUGUUUUUAUAUUAACCUUAUUCCACCAAACAUUUAAUUAAAUCCAAUUUAAACAUUUAUUGGCCACCUUCUCCAAUAAAAUGAGGCACUUCUUUCUCCUGUGGGGCCACAGUGUGGUCUUAAGUUUACUCUGGGCUCUGGAAGGCCAUGGUAACACAGCACAGACACUGGGAGGUCCUAACAAAAUGUGGUGCUGUUAUCUAAGGAUUUUUAAAGUCCUGGAGGAGAAACACUCUGCUAGGCACCAAGGGGAAUAGGUAUGUAAAUAAGACGUGGGCUCUCCAAUUAAUUGCCCUAUAACAAGUAGGAGAAUUAUGACCAGUAUAUACCACUGUAAGAAAUGUUAGUAUCAUGGAAGCAAUGUCACACUUCGGACAAAGUAGGCCUCAGAGCAAGGCAGCCAGGGAGAACAAUGGAGAAAGCACUUAGCCUGGAGUCAGGAAGA